UACGUAGGGUGCAAGCGUUAAUCGGAAUUAUUGGGCGUAAAGCGUGCGCAGGCGGUUUUGUAAGCCAGGUGUGAAAUCCCCGGGCUCAACCUGGGAAUGGCAUUUGGGACUGCAAGGCUGGAGUGCGGCAGAGGAGACUGGAAUUCCUGGUGUAGCAGUGAAAUGCGUAGAUAUCAGGAGGAAUACCGAUGGCGAAGGCAGGUCUCUGGGCUGACACUGACGCUCAUGCACGAAAGCGUGGGGAGCAAACAGG
rnacentral:rRNA from 1 species